UUUCCGUAGGUGAACCUGCGGAAGGAUCAUUAUUGAAUGAAACACUUCUGGCUUUAUGCUGUUGUACUGGCCCUUUGGGCAAUGUGCACACGGCUCUGGUCACUUGUCUAUUCUGUUCCACCUGUGCACUGCCUGUAGACACGCUGUGUCUAUGAUAUUUGUUAACACACAACAAUGUUAGUUGGGAUGUUAUAUAUAAUAAUAAAAUAUACAACUUUCAACAACGGAUCUCUUGGCUCUC
rnacentral:misc_RNA from 1 species